UUGCUGCGUUCUUCCUGGCCGGUCGCGAGAACGCGGAGGUGGUACUGCCCCCAGUGUGUUGAGCCUUCUCACAUCACCUUAAUCAGCAGGUGAACACACCCAGAAAAUCCUUGGGCGGAGAGAUAACUCCUUCAUGAACUACUAGCCAUGCAAGAUCAGGAACCAGGUUAA